UGGGGAAUUUUGGACAAUGGGCGCAAGCCUGAUCCAGCAAUGCCGCGUGAGUGAAGAAGGCCUUCGGGUUGUAAAGCUCUUUCAGUCGAGAAGAAAAGGUUGUGACCAAUAAUCACAACUCAUGACGGUAUCGACAGAAGAAGCACCGGCUAACUACGUGCCAGCAGCCGCGGUAAUACGUAGGGUGCGAGCGUUAAUCGGAAUUACUGGGCGUAAAGGGUGCGCAGGCGGUUUUGUAAGUCAGAUGUGAAAUCCCCGGGCUUAACCUGGGAACUGCGUUUGAAACUACAACACUAGAGUACAGAAGGGGCAAUCGGAAUUCUUGGUGUAGCGGUGAAAUGCGUAGAUAUCAAGAGGAACACCUGAGGCGAAGGCGGGUUGCUGGGCUGAUACUGACGCUGAGGCGCGAAAGCUAGGGUAGCAAACGGGAUUAGAUACCCAUGUAGUCCCUGAGCGGGCUGGCAAGGCGCAU
rnacentral:rRNA from 1 species